rnacentral:rRNA from 1 species
CGAUUACUAGCGAUUCCGACUUCAUGGAGUCGAGUUGCAGACUCCAAUCCGGACUACGAAGAACUUUCUAGGAUUAGCACCACCUCGCGGCUUAGCGUCCGUCUGUAUUCUCCAUUGUAGCACGUGUGUAGCCCUACUCGUAAGGGCCAUGAUGACUUGACGUCGUCCUCACCUUCCUCCGGUUUAUCACCGGCAGUCCCCUUAUAGCUCCCGACCGAAUCGCUGGCAAAUAAGGGUAAGGGUUGCGCUCGUUAUCCGACUUAACGGAACAUCUCACGACACGAGCUGACGACAGCCAUGCAGCACCUGUAUCUUGGUUCCAAAAGGCACACUCUCAUUACAAGAGCCUCCAAGUAUGUCAAGAGUAGGUAAGGUUUUUCGCGUUGCAUCGAAUUAAACCACAUGCUCCACCGCUUGUGCGGGUCCCCGUCAAUUCAUUUGAGUUUUAGCCUUGCGGCCGUACUCCCCAGGCGGACAACUUAAAGCGUUAGCUGCGCCACUGAAAGACAUAGUCUCCCAACAGCUAGUUGUCACCGUUUACGGCGUGGACUACCAGGGUAUCUAAUCCUGUUCGCUACCCACGCUUUCGCACCUCAGUGUCAGUACAGAUCCAGGAGGCCGCCUUCGCCACUGGUAUUCUUCAUAAUAUCUACGCAUUCCACCGCUACACUAUGAAUUCUACCUCCCUCUAUCGUACUCUAGUGAGUUAGUUUUGGAUGCAGUUCCUAGGUUGAGCCCAGGGCUUUCACAUCCAACUUAACAAACCACCUACGCGCGCUUUACGCCCAGUAAUUCCGAUUAACGCUUGCACCUUCCGUAUUACCGCGGCUGCUGGCACGGAAUUAGCCGGUGCUUAUUCUGCAGGUAACAUCAAGGUCAUAGGGUAUUAACCUAUAACUUUUUCUCCCUGCUUAAAGUGCUUUACAACCCGAAGGCCUUCUUCACACACGCGGUAU